UCGUUGGAAUAAUUAACAAGGAAGAAAGAGAUUGCAUAUCUAUCUAUCUGUGAUUAAGGAGAGGAAUUGAAUCUUUCUUUGCUCAGGGUCUCAUUUGUUCCAGCCAAGCGCUUGCUUGGCAAACCUCUCACCGUGCACACCAGAGAAAACUGCAUACGGCCGAUCACAAUGAGAGCAAGCGAGGAGAGGAAAGCGGAGGCCAUGGAGGCUGCGGUGGUGAGCGCAUCGGCCGGCGCCAUGGGCUCCCUGCUUCGGAAGCUUGGUGAGCUGCUCACAGCCGAGUACAAGUUGCUCAAAGAAGCCAAGGGGCCGAUCAUAUUCCUAAAAGCUGAGCUCGAGAGCAUGUACGUCUUCCUGAAGAAGAUCUCAGAUUCAGAGGAGCCUGACGAGCAAGACAAGUGCUGGGCCAAGGAGGUUCGCGAGCUGUCCUACGACAUCGAGGACAGCAUCAGCGAGUUCAUGCUCCGCGUGGAACGUGACUCCAGCAAGCCACGCGGAUUCAAAGGGUUCAUCACUAGGAGCACAAAGCUGCUGACAACAAUGAACACCAGGCAUGAGAUUGCAAAGGAGUUUGAAGGUCUUAAGAUCCGUGUCAAGGAGGCAAGUGAGCGGCGCACGAGGUACAGGAUUCAUGACACUGUCCCGAAGGAAAACAACACAGCCAUCGAUCCUCGCUUGUUGGCGCUCCAUGCGGAGACGACGAGCCUUGUCGGUAUCAAGGGACCAAGAGACCAGCUGAUUCAGUUGAUGGAUGGAGAGGGUGUGCCUGCGCUUCAGCUAAAGGUGCUCUCUAUUGUGGGCUUUGGAGGUCUCGGAAAGACUACACUUGCAAAUGAGAUUUAUCGCAAGCUUGAGGAGAAGUUCCAGUCUCGAGCUUUUGUUUCUGUGUCCCAAAAACCAAACAUUAGGAAGAUUCUGAGAAGAAUACUAUCUCAAGUUGGAUUUGUAGCUCCUAAGGACACCAACAUUGAGAUGUGGGAAGAGUCUGAAAUGUUCAUUGCACUGCAAAAUUUCCUAUUUGACAAGAGGUACCUCAUUGUAAUUGAUGACAUCUGGGAUGCUUCUGCAUGGAAUAUCAUCAAAUGUGCUCUCCCGGAGAACACGAAUGGUAGCAGAGUAAUACAGUAACAACUACCAGAAUUGAAGCUGUGGCUAGAGCUUGCUGUAAUAAUCACAUUGAAUGUGUUUACAAAAUGAAGACACUUAGCGACCAAGACUCAAGAAGCUUAUUCUUCAAAAGAAUAUUUGGUUCAGAGGAUAUGUGCCCUACAUAUUUGAACCAAGUGUCGUCAGAAAUUUUGAAAAAAUGUGGUGGCUUGCCACUUGCAAUUAUCACAACAUCUAGCCUGUUAGCCAAUCAGCCAAACAAACUUAAAAAGGAGCAGUGGGAGUAUGUACGGAAGUCUCUAGGCUCCAACUUUGAAAUGAGCCCAAGCUUGGAAGGCAUGAGACAGAUAUUGAAUCUCAGCUACAUAAAUCUUCCUCAUUAUCUGAAGACUUGCAUGCUAUAUCUUGGUAUUUAUCCAGAGGACUACACAAUUGACAAGAAUGAUUUGACUAGGCAAUGGGUUGCUGAAGGAUUCAUAUGUAAAGAUUGUGGGAUAGAUUUUAAUGAGCUUAUCAAUAGGAGUAUGAUUCAGCCUGUAGAUACAGACCAUAAUGGUGAUGUAAUGUCUUGCCGGGUACACGAUAUGAUGCUUGAUCUUAUAUUACAUAAGUCUAGAGAAGAGAAUAUCGUCACUAUAAUGGAUGAUAUGCAAGACAUAAUAGGACAUCAAGAUAAGAUUUGCCGGAUCUCUCUCAACCUGGAUGAUGCAACAAAUGAAAAGGCUGGCACUGCAGCGAAAUCUGUCCAGCUAUCCCAAAUACGUACACUACCAAGAUUUGGUACCUCCUCGCAGUUGCUCUCUUUUAAAUUGUUCAAGUAUCUCCGAGUUCUGGGAAUUGAAAUUUCAGGAUGGCCCAAGUCAGAUACAUCGCUAGACUUCACUGGAAUACGUUACCCGUUCCAGUUAAGAUUCUUAAAGAUCAUAGCAAGAGGUUUACCAUGGGGUGUUACCUAGUAAAAUUGGGGAUCUUCAGCAACUGGAAACAUUUGACAUAGGCAAUGAAAUAAAUUCAUAUGAAGGAACACAGCUACCAUCAGAUAUUUUUAAUUUGGGCCGGCUGUUGCAUCUGGCUGUUCCUAGUGCUGUAAUAUUGCCUGAUGGGAUAGGUAACAUGAAAUCCUUGCGUACUCUAGGCCAGUUUGAGUUGGGCAACUCAUUGGACAGUAUCAAGGGUCUGAGAGAACUGACCAAUCUGACAAAUCUUGAAAUCAGUUUCAACUACAGUAAAUCUGGAGAUGAGGCUGCUGCGAGAUGUAGGGAAGUUAUGCGCGCCCUUGAAAACCUUUGCAACCUCAAACAUCUACAUAUUGAUAGUCAUAAUAAACUUGUCAGAAGCUGCUUAGAUGUAUGGCGUUCGGUCCCACCCCAUCUCGAAAGCUUCCAUGCAAGGUACGAAUCCUGGUUCUCAAGGGUUCCAAAGUGCAUUGGCCAGCUCCAUAGCCUCUAUGACCUGCAUCUCUUUGUUAGGGAGGUGUUGGAGGAUGAUGUUGGAAUGCUUUCACAUCUGCCCUCCCUUAUCCACCUGGUUCUGAACAUCCGUAGAGCUCCUGAAAAUAAGAUCAUCGUCUCCGGAGGAAGUGGAUCAUUCCCUAUUCUGAAGCAUUUUACAAUCGUCUAUGGCAGGAUAUCUUACCUGACCUUUGAGGCAGGGGCAAUGCCCAAGCUCGAAAGGCUCGAGCUAUGUUUCAAUGCGAAGGGAUGCGACAAGUACGGAGCUGCACCUGCUGGCAUCGAGCACCUACCAGGCCUCAAAGAAAUCUCUGUGCCCAUUGGGGGGGGCUGGUCCUAAGGAAUCCAACCGAACUUCCAGACUUUUCAUUCCUGUUCUGCAAGUUGCGUCCAUCAAAUUAGCAUUUUUUAUGACCCCUGUACUUGACUACAUUCAUGAUAGCCCCAGUACUCACUACCGGACUUCCAGACUU